rnacentral:rRNA from 1 species
UACAGAGGGGGCAAGCGUUGUUCGGAAUUACUGGGCGUAAAGGGCGCGUAGGCGGCCUUCUAAGUCGAACGUGAAAUCCCCGGGCUCAACCCGGGAACUGCGUCCGAUACUGGAAGGCUUGAAUCCGGGAGAGGGAUGCGGAAUUCCAGGUGUAGCGGUGAAAUGCGUAGAUAUCUGGAGGAACACCGGUGGCGAAGGCGGCGUUCUGGACUGCAACUGACACUGAUGAACGAAAGCCAGGGGAGCAAACGGG